GACAGAGGGCGCAAGCGUUGUUCGGAAUUACUGGGCGUAAAGCGCGCGCAGGCGGAUGGGUGCGUCCGGAGUGAAAUUUCGCCGCUCAACGGCGAAGCUGCUCUGGAUACGGCCCGUCUAGGGACCGGUAGAGGCUGGUGGAAUUGCUGGUGUAGCGGUGGAAUGCGUAGAGAUCAGCAAGAACACCCGUGGCGAAGGCGGCCAGCUGGGCCGGAUCCGACGCUCAGGCGCGAAAGCGUGGGGAGCAAACAGG
rnacentral:rRNA from 2 species